GACGAACGCUGGCGGCGUGCUUAACACAUGCAAGUCGAACGGAAAGGCCCCUUUGGGGGUCCUCGAGUGGCGAACGGGUGAGUAACACGUGAGUAACCUGCCCUUGACUUCGGGAUAACUUCAGGAAACUGGGGCUAAUACCGGAUAGGAAUCCUUGCUGCAUGGUGGGGGUUGGAAAGCUUCGGCGGUUUUGGAUGGACUCGCGGCUUAUCAGCUUGUUGGUGGGGUAGUGGCUUACCAAGGCUUUGACGGGUAGCCGGCCUGAGAGGGCGACCGGCCACAUUGGGACUGAGAUACGGCCCAGACUCCUACGGGAGGCAGCAGUGGGGAAGAUUGCACAAUGGGCGGAAGCCUGAUGCAGCAACGCCGCGUGCGGGAUGACGGCCUUCGGGUUGUAAACCGCGUUCAGCAGGGGCGAAGCUUGUGGUGACGGUACCUGCAGAAGAAGCACCGGCUAACUACGUG
rnacentral:rRNA from 1 species